rnacentral:pre_miRNA from 13 species
CCCUGCCCACAAGGAGCUUACAGUCUAGAGGGGGGGAAAUAUAUAUUAAUGUCUGUCUCCCCUUCUAGACCGUAAGCUUCUUGUGGGCAGGGA